rnacentral:rRNA from 1 species
CCUACGGGUGACAGCAGUGAGGAAUAUUGGGCAAUGGACGCAAGUCUGAACCAGCCAUGCCGCGUGCAUGAAGACGGCUCUAUAAGUUGUAAACUGCUUUUGUACGGGGGUAAAUCUCUAUACGUGUAUCUUGUUGAAAUUAACGUACGUAUAAGGAUCGGCUAACCCCGCGCCAGCAGCCGCGGUAAUACGGAGGGUGCAAGCCUUAUCCGGAUUUAUUGGGUUGAAAGGGUGCGUAGGCGGUUCGAUAAGUUAGAUGUGAAAUUCCGGGGCUCAACUCCGGCAGUGCCUGGGAUACUGGCGGGCGAGAGUUUAGUAGAGGUAGGCGGAAUGUAUGGGGUAGCGGUGAAAUGCUUAGAGAUCAUACAGAACACCGAUUGCGAAGGCAGCUUACCGAGCUACUUCUGACGUUGAGGCACGAAAGCGUGGGGAGCAAACAGGAUUAGAUACCCGGGUAGUC